UACAGAGGUCCCAAGCGUUGUUCGGAUUCACUGGGCGUAAAGGGUGCGUAGGUGGCGAGGUAAGUCGGAUGUGAAAGCUCGGAGCUCAACUCCGAAAUGGCAUUGGAAACUACCUGGCUUGAGGGUUGGAAGGGGGACUGGAAUUCCCGGUGUAGAGGUGAAAUUCGUAGAUAUCGGGAGGAACACCAGUGGCGAAGGCGGCGAUCUGGGAAGAUACUGACGCUGAGGUGCGAAAGCGUGGGGAGCAAACAGG
rnacentral:rRNA from 1 species